rnacentral:rRNA from 1 species
CCUACGGGCUGCAGCAGUGGGGAAUAUUGCACAAUGGGCGCAAGCCUGAUGCAGCCAUGCCGCGUGUAUGAAGAAGGCCUUCGGGUUGUAAAGUACUUUCAGCGGGGAGGAAGGCGAUAAGGUUAAUAACCUUGGCGAUUGACGUUACCCGCAGAAGAAGCACCGGCUAACUCUGUGCCAGCAGCCGCGGUAAUACGGAGGGUGCAAGCGUUAAUCGGAAUUACUGGGCGUAAAGCGCACGCAGGCGGUCUGUCAAGUCGGAUGUGAAAUCCCCGGGCUCAACCUGGGAACUGCAUUCGAAACUGGCAGGCUAGAGUCUUGUAGAGGGGGGUAGAAUUCCAGGUGUAGCGGUGAAAUGCGUAGAGAUCUGAAGGAAUACCAGUGGCGAAGGCGGCCCCCUGGACAAAGACUGACGCUCAGAUGCGAAAGCGUGGGGAGCAAACAGGAUUAGAUACCCGCGUAGUC